GGAGGAUGAGAGAACCAGGGAAGGUUCACGAACAAUCUGGAACCCAUUUGCUAUUAUUUCAACUAUCAAACACAAGCUCCACCAGAUUCCAAAAUUGAAUCACUAAAUCCAACAAACACCAGAUUAUGAGAAAUAUCACCUCCCCAGAUUAUGAGAAAUUUAAAUAAAAAAAUCUAUUCUUUCUUAUCAUUUAACUCUGUGUGUAUCUUCUCUUCUUCCCCAAGCUCUCUAUCUUGCAACCUUCUUCUAUUUUUCAGAUCUGGAAAUCAACAUCCAUAAUCCUCAUCAACAGAUCUGAAUCAUAGGCAAACAAAUUGUGGAAAAAAAAGAAAACAAAAUUGAUGUUUAAGAAGAUUUAAUGGAUCUUAUCUAGAGAUUUGGAAGAUGAUGAGGAUACCUUGCUUGGACGAAGGAUUUGAAGAUGGGAGGGAAUUAAUAGUGAGACCCAGCGGCGGUGGCUGUGGGAGAUAGCGACCAUUGCCUCUACACGCCCCACCGACUGUGAAACCUAGAUCUGAACGGGGACGGUGGAUCUUCAAAUUGGGGGAGGGGGUUCUUCGCACCAGACCCUCAGCCACCGCGCCGCUCCUCACUAUUGUGUCACGUGCCACCGCGGAAAUAACCAUGUGGGGCCAGCGCUUGAACUACCCAGUAACCACCACCGCUUCACUCCACGCAGAUCUGAAACUGGAAGUGGAGGAGGGAGAGGGUGUUGUGGUCGCCGGGAAAUGCACCGACGGAGAAGAAGGAGAGAAGGCAAGGGUUGUGCUGGGAGGAAAGGGUUGUGGUGGG
rnacentral:lncRNA from 1 species